rnacentral:lncRNA from 1 species
UCAUGCUCUCAUUGAUUUGCAACAAAUUUACAUCACAUCAACAGAAACUUCAAACACAAAUCACUCUCACCCUCUAAUCUCACUUUCCGGGAACAAAGUUGGUGGCGUAGGCCCAGGCAUUGUUGUUAACUGGGUCAGCAAGGUGGUCAGCCAAGUUCUCCAAUGGUCCCUUUCCGGUGACGAUGGCUUGGACGAAGAAUCCAAACAUGGAGAACAUAGCCAAUCUGCCGUUCUUGAUCUCCUUCACCUUAAGCUCAGCGAAUGCCUCUGGGUCGUCAGCAAGACCCAAUGGGUCGAAGCUGCCACCUGGGUACAAGGGGUCGGUUACCUCACCGAGAGGCCCGCCAGCAAUACGGUAACCCUCAACAGCUCCCAUCAAGAUAACUUGGCAAGCCCAGAUGGCCAAGAUGCUUUGAGCGUGUAUCAAGCUUGGGUUUCCCAAGUAGUCAAGCCCACCUUCGCUGAAGAUCUGAGAUCCGGCCUUGAACCACACGGCCUCACCGAAUUUGACUCCAUUCCUAGCCAAAAGCUCAGGGAAAACACACCCAAGAGCACCCAACAUAGCCCACCUACAGUGGAUGACUUCGAGCUCACGGUUCCUGGCAAAUGUCUCUGGGUCAGCCGAGAGUCCAGCAGUGUCCCAACCGUAGUCACCAGGGAAUUCUCCGGUCAAGUAAGAUGGAGGCUCACCAGAUAGUGGACCCAAGUACAAAACUCGGUCAGGACCGUACCAUGGACUUCCGGAGGGAGCAGCCUUGGUAGCGGUUUUCCUCAUGGAAACACGGCCAUUGCCUUGGAUUUUAGGGGCGGAAGGAGAGAGCUUGACGGCCUUUCCGGCGAAAGAUGGGGAAGAGAGAGCCAUGGUUGCAGCUGCCAUUCUGAAGGGGAAAGAUGAUCUCGUGUGAUGGGAGUUCGUGGUAUAAGUUUUGAGA